AGUCCUACGGGGGGCAGCAGUGGGGAAUAUUGCACAAUGGGGGGAACCCUGAUGCAGCGACGCCGCGUGAGUGAAGAAGUAUUUCGGUAUGUAAAGCUCUGUCAGCAGGGGAGAAGAAAGACGGUACCUGACCAAGAAGCCCCGGCUAACUACGUGCCAGCAGCCGCGGUAAUACGAAGGGGGCAAGCGUUAUCCGGAUUUACUGGGUGAAACGGGAGCGUAGGCGGCAGGGCAAGUCUGGAGUGAA
rnacentral:rRNA from 1 species